UACAGAGGGGGCAAGCGUUGUUCGGAAUUACUGGGCGUAAAGGGCGCGUAGGCGGCCUCUUAAGUCGAACGUGAAAUCCCCGGGCUCAACCCGGGAACUGCGUCCGAUACUGGGAGGCUUGAAUCCGGGAGAGGGAUGUGGAAUUCCAGGUGUAGCGGUGAAAUGCGCAGAUAUCAGGAGGAACACCGGUGGCGAAGGCGGUUCUCUGGGCCUUACCUGACGCUGAGGAGCGAAAGCGUGGGGAGCGAACAGG
rnacentral:rRNA from 1 species